UACGUAGGGUGCAAGCGUUAUCCGGAAUUAUUGGGCGUAAAGAGCUCGUAGGCGGUUUGUCGCGUCUGCUGUGAAAACUGGGGGCUCAACCCCCCAGCCUGCAGUGGGUACGGGCAGACUAGAGUGCGGUAGGGGAGAUUGGAAUUCCUGGUGUAGCGGUGGAAUGCGCAGAUAUCAGGAGGAACACCGAUGGCGAAGGCAGAUCUCUGGGCCGUAACUGACGCUGAGGAGCGAAAGCGUGGGUAGCAAACAGG
rnacentral:rRNA from 1 species